rnacentral:sRNA from 1 species
CGGCGCCUUCUCGGCCUGCCAGUCGAUCGUUUCCGGCGACACUUCGUUGCCGUUGCCGUCGAGAAGGCGGAUCGCGUUGCGCGCGAGAUAGGUCGGAUCCUUGCGCAUCAGCGGCAUGA